GAGCGCAGCGAGUCAGUGAGCGAGGAAGCGGCCGCAUAACUUCGUAUAGCAUACAUUAUACGAAGUUAUCAGUCGACGGUACCGGACAUAUGCCCGGGAAUUCGGCCAUUACGGCCGGGGGAAUGAUUGGGCGUAAAGCGUCUGUAGGUUGUUUAAAAAGUCAACUGUCAAAAACUAAAGCUCAACUUUAGGCAGGCAGUUGAAACUUUUAGACUAGAGUAUGGCAGAGGUAGAGGGAAUUACUGGUGUAACGGUGAAAUGUGCAGAUAUCAGUAAGAACACCAAUGGCGAAAGCACUCUACUGGACCAAAACUGACACUCAGAGACGAAAGCUAGGGGAGCGAAUAGGAUUAGAUACCCUAGUAGUCCUAGCUGUAAACGAUGGAAACUAAAUAUUGCGUUUUUAAAAUGCAGUAUUGUAGCUAACGCGUUAAGUUUCCCGCCUGGGGAGUAUGCUCGCAAGAGUGAAACUCAAAGAAAUUGACGGGGGCCCGCACAAGCGGUGGAGCAUGUGGUUUAAUUCGAUGCAACGCGAAGAACCUUACCGGGGUUUGACAUACUAUGCAUUUUUUGGAGACGAAAAAGUUUAAACAUAGAUACAGGUGGUGCAUGGCUGUCGUCAGCUCGUGUCGUGAGACGUAGGGUUAAGUCCUGUAACGAGCGCAAUCCUUAUUGUUAGUUGCUUUUAGGAAACUAGCAAGACUGCCAGUGAUAAGCUGGAGGAAGGUGAGGAUGACGUCAAGUCAGCAUGCCCCUUAAAUCCCGGGCUACACACGUGCUACAAUGGUUAAGACAAAGAGAUGCUAACUUGUGAAAGUACAGCGAACCUC
rnacentral:rRNA from 1 species